rnacentral:rRNA from 1 species
CAGCGUAGGGUGCGAGCGUUGUUCGGAAUUACUGGGCGUAAAGGGCUCGUAGGCGGCCAACUAAGUCAGACGUGAAAUCCCUCGGCUUAACCGGGGAACUGCAUCUGAUACUGGACGGCUUGAGUAUGGGAGAGGGAUGUAGAAUUCCAGGUGUAGCGGUGAAAUGCGUAGAUAUCUGGAGGAAUACCGGUGGCGAAGGCGGCAUCCUGGACCAUUACUGACGCUGAGGCGCGAAAGCUAGGGGAGCAAACGGGG